UGUCAUUGAAACGUCCAAAAUGACAAGUUUAAUACUUUUAUGUUUAUUUUUAGCGAUUUCAGAAGUGACACUACUUGAACCAUGUGGUCGUUAUCAAGCAUGCCCUGAACCUUACACAUGUUUUAACAGUUAUUGUGACGAUGGUAAGUCGAUGGGUAUGUACAUCAGUCAGGACCUUCUAGAUAAACCUGGCGAUGAUUAUUGUCAAAUACUGAGUGACCUAUGUCAAGCCACAAACCCGAUUUCGGGUAAUUUAUAAGUUGGCAACUCGGCGUUGCCUCGCCAAUUGUCCCGAUUCGAAAUAAAAUAAUUAAAAUUGA